rnacentral:rRNA from 1 species
GGGUCAGUAGGUUGGUCGUGCCACCGGUACGUACUGGUCUCACUGAUUCCUCCUUCCUGAAGAACCGUAACGCCAUUAAUUUGGUGUUGCGGGGAAACAGGACUGUUACUUUGAAAAAAUUAGAGUGUUUAAAGCAAGCUAACGCUUGAAUACAUUAGCAUGGAAUAAUGAAAUAGGACGAUCGAUCCUAUUUUGUUGGUUUCUAGGAUUGACGUG